GCGGUAGAUCAGUUUUGGUAAUUUCUUCAGGAAUAGGAGGCGACAGACGGAGUGACAAAGAUCACGAUGAGGGCGGUCCAAGUCCAGAAUGAGAGACUUGAGCAAGAUUAGAUGUUAUCGAUGUGACGAGUUGGGGCAUCUAGCUAGAGAUUGCCCUCAACUCCGGGAUCAGAUGAGGACUACUAUAGUGAUGGCCAGUAGUGACUCAGAGGGUGAUGC
rnacentral:lncRNA from 1 species